UUUUCACUGCGGCCCAAAACAUCAACUGUUUACACUUUUCCAUAGAUGCUGCCUGGGCUACUAAGUUGCUCCAGCAUUUUGUGUGCGUCGCUUGGAUUUCCAGCAUCUGCAAACUUUCUCUUGUUCAUAUAUUGAAAGGCCUAGUUAGAGUGGAAAUGGAGAGGAUGUACCUAAUAGUAGGAGAAUCUAGGACCAGGGGACACAGCCUCAGGAAACAAGGACAUCCCUUUAGAACAGAGUCAAGGAGGAAUUUCUUUAAGCAGGUGGUGGUGAAUCUGUGGAGUUCAUUGACACAAAAAGCGGUGGAGCUCAAGUCAUACUUAACAUGGAUAUUCAUAGGUUCUUGAUUAGUACGAGUCAAAUAUUAAAGGGAGGAGAAUAGGGUUGAGAGGGAAAAUAAACCGGCCAUGAUUGAAGGGUAGAGCAGACUCUAUGGGACGCAUGGUCUGAUGCUGCUUCUGUCUAAGGUCUUCAUGUUUCUUUUUGGUUUAAGAUCUUAAUUGCUACUCCAUCAGAGUCUUACAAAGUGUGGGUACAUACAAGAGAUAUAAGAUUAAGCAUGAGUUGAUAAUUGAUAAAAUACAUUCACCACUUGUAAAUAUCUGUACUGGUGCACGAGGUUGACAUGUUUUUUUUAUUUCAAGCAUAUUUUGAUGGACCUUUCAAUGUUUGCAGAAGACAUGAUGUUUUUUAAGCUCUGGUCUGUAUUUCUCUCUACUGAAAACAUGGAAAAAAAUGGGUUGGGUAUGCUAACAGACAAGCAACUUUAUUUUGACAAUGACUCCUCAUCCCUGAUUAAUUGUUGAAAACUGUAAUGAUAAUAAAAUGAGAAUGUUAAUUCAUUGUUUUAUGAAGAGCAAAACAAUUAAGGUCAAUUAUUUACUUUUCCACAAAUAUUUAAUAAUUUAUGGGAGUAACUGUAGAAAUUCAAAACGAAAAGGCAGAGAAGAGGGAGACAAAUUGUGCAUAUUUGUGCAAAAGGAUUUUUUAACAAGAGAAAGAAGUAAUUUGAUAGUUGUUCUUCUCCUCCACGUCUUGUGGUGCAUCUGGCAGCAACCUAUGCCAUUUCCUUAGCAUUUAUUUGCCUGUUUUUGCUCGACGCUCAACCCAGCACGGAUGGAAAGUGUGGAAGGAACCAGCCAGAUUCCAAACCGGGACCACUCGCUUCAAAAUCCGGUGCGAAUGCCGCUACACCACUGGCCAACCAAUUCGAUAGUGGAGCAAUUAUAUUUAUUUAUCACUAUACCUUUUUGCAUUUGCACAUAUUGUUGUCUUUUUCACAUUGUUUCAAAUUGGUUCUUUACCUGUCCAGUUGGGUGCGCUCUUUCAUUAAUUCUGUUCCCUGUGCAUACUUAAUGGUAUGGUUAUACUUAUAUUAAGAUCAUACAAUUUUACUUUUCUUCAAAUUAUAAAAAUAAAACCAUAUGAUUUUCUAUUUUAAAGUAUUGUGUGGACAUGGAAGCAGGACGGGGAGGGGAAAAUGCGAAAUGAUAGGAGAAGACUGGAGGGGGAGGAAUGAAGCUAAGAGCUGGAAAGGUGAUUGGCAAAAGGGAAAGGAUCAUGGGAUGGGAGGCCUAGGGAGAAAGAGAGGGGGAGGGUUAGCACUAGAGGGAGAUGGAGAACAGGCAGAAUGAUGGGCAGAGAGAGAGGAAAAAAAAAGGGGGGAAAGCUAAAUAUAUCAGGGAUGGGGUGAGAAGGGGAGGAGGGGCAUUAACGGAAAUUAGAGAAGUCAAUGUUCAUGCCAUCAGGUUGGAGGCUCUCAGCUUCACCCCACCCCCUCCGGUCUUCUCCUAACAUUUUGCAUUUCCACCUCUCCCUCCUACUUUCAAAUCUUUUACCAUCUUUCCUUUCAAUUAGUCCUGACGAAGGGUCUCGGCCCGAAACUUCAACAGUGCUUCUUCCUAUAGAUCUGUCUGGCCUUGCUGCGUUCCACCAGCAUUUUGUGUGUGUUAGUUGAGACAUAAUAACUGUUGGUGUUUUUAGCCUGAGGCUUCUGUACCUCCUUCUUCAUGGCAGCAGCGAGAAGAGAGCAUGGCCUGGAUGAUGGAUGCAACUUUUCUGUAACAGUGGUCCGUGGAAGUGUGCUUAAUAGUGGGGAGGGCUUUACACAUGAUGGACUGGGCUGUAUCUACUACCUUUUGUAGUUUUUCUCUUCAAGGGUAUGUGUUUCAAUAUCAGGCCGCGUUGCAACCAAUCAAUAUACUCUCUCCACUAAAAGUAUGUCAACAAUUUUAGAUGACAUGCUGAAUCUUCACAAGCAGAGGCUCAGCCAUGCUUUCUUUGUAAUGGUGCUUACAUGCUGGACCCAGGACAGAUCCUCUAAAAUGGUAACACCGAGGAAUUUAAAGUUGCUGACCCUCUCCAUCUCUGAUCCCCUGAUGAGGACUGACUCAUGGACCUCCAGUUUCCUCAACUGAAAUCUACAGUCAGCUCCUUGGUCUUGCUGACAUUGAGUGAGAAGUUGUGGCACCACUCAAAUUUUCAAUCACUGUCCUUUAUGCUGAUUUGUCAACAGCUUUGAUUGGGCCAAUGACAGUGGUGUCAUCAGCAAACUUAAAUAUGGCAUUGGAGCUGUGCUUAGCCUCGCACUCAGAAAGGUAAAGCAAGUAGAGCAGAGGGUUAAGCACACGGACUUGUGGUGCACUUGUGCUGAUGGAGAUUGUGGAGGAGAUGUUGAUGCCAACCCAAACUGACUGGAGUCUGCAAGUGAGGAAAUUGAGGAUCCAAUUGUACAAGGAGGUAUUGAGGAAAAGGUUUUGAAACUUACUGAUUAGUUUCGAGGGGGUGAUAGUAUUGAAUGCUGAGCUGUAGUUGAUAAAGAGCAUCCUGAUGUACACACCUUUGCUGUCCAAAUGUUCCAGGGUUUUGUGAAGAGCCAAUUUGCCUACCAGUGCUGUGAAUUUGUUGCACUGGUAGGCAAAUUGGAGCAGAUCCAAGUCACUUCUCAGGCAGGGGUUGAUCUACUUUAUCACCAACCUCUCAAACACUUCAUCACUGUGGAUGUAAGUGCUACUGGAUGAUAGUCAUUGAGGCAUGUUCUUCUUAGGGACCAGUAUAUCUGAGACUGAAAUCACAGGGUCAUCAGGAGCUGAGGGAGUUUGUGAACAUUCCUCUAUUUUUUGGCUUCAAAGCAAACAUAGAAGCCAUUGAGCUCAUCUGGGACUGAAGCCUUGUUGUCACUUCAGUUUCACUUUGUAGGAGGUGAUAGAAUUCAAGCCCUGCCUCAGCUUUCGAGCAUCCUUCUGCGAUUCAGGAACUAAUGAAGAGUCUCGGGCCGAAACAUUGGCUGUGUAGUCAUCUCCAUAGAUGCUUCCUGACCUGAUUGCCAGGGAACUGAAGUUUGAAGAAAAGGAUUCGUACUUGCUUCUUUACUCAGUUUGGAAUGGAAGCCAGUUGAUACUGUUAUGAAGGUACCACAGCUCCGAGGGACCGAAAGAGCGGGAGCAGCCCCCUCCUUCCGGAGAAUCGCAAGAUCGCUAUUAAUUCAGGUCUUGGAAGUGAGAGACAAUGCAACGGUUUUGACUAUUUGUUCUUAGAGGCGCCUGUGUCACGUGCAAGUCCCAGCUACGUGACAACUACCAUGAACCUGAACACCCUCGGGCCAUGUGGGGGUGGAGAUUGCAUCCCCCGACUUUGAUGGACAGCUACAACUCUGCAAGUAAAGAUAAAAGCGGACUGCAGGAGGCAGUACCCUAGCGAUGCACCAGAGGAACUUGCUCGCUCAAUGCUCCCGGGAGAGCUGGAAGCCACUCAACGCCACGUGUGCUCCUAACUCCUUUGCCUGGGGAGCGGGUGGCUGGUACUACCGAGAAGGACUUCGAACUAACAACGGGGAAACCAACGCUCCCCUGAUUUUAACGGAGUGGUCGUAAAGACAUGGGCAAGUCUUCUUUUCGUUCUCACCGAUCCCUCUAAGACACGUGAGACCCAACGAUUCCUCAAAAGACUUCUGAAUGACUCUAUAUUUCCAAUGGACAAAAAUAUUAUCCCCUCGACAACAGCCGAGAUUAAUGAUGAUUAUGACUAUACCCAGGCUUUAGAUUGCGUAUUGGUGAUGUGCAUUAUCUGAAUGUUUGCAUUAACCUUACUUUUGUGCCCCUUUAUAAAUAAAAACGUUUGAAAAUAGUGACAUCAGACUUCAACAGACCUCUCUAUCUUUGCUGGUAAGUUAUCCAGUUACGGGAUACGUAACAACUAGUGCAAAACCUUGCUUAUGUCUGCAUCAAAUUUCAACUG